GACAGAGGGUGCAAACGUUGUUCGGAAUUACUGGGCGUAAAGCGUGUGUAGGCGGCUUGGCAAGUCGGAUGUGAAAGCCCUGGGCUCAACCCAGGAAGUGCACUCGAUACUGCCGAGCUUGAGUAUCGGAGAGGUUGGUGGAAUUCUCGGUGUAGAGGUGAAAUUCGUAGAUAUCGAGAGGAACACCAGUGGCGAAGGCGGCUACCUGGACCAGCACUGACACUGAGGCACGAAAGCGUGGGGAGCAAACAGG
rnacentral:rRNA from 1 species